CCUGGGUCCAGUUCAGUUCAAUGUCCAAAUAAGGUAACACUUUACCUAUUUGUCAAGUAUCUCCAAGCUUUCUCAAACUUGUCCACAUGAAGUCCCCAUUCACUUUAAUAGGGACUAUGUUCAUGGCCUCCAUUGCUUGGAUACUUUCUUUCAAUAUCACCCAUCUCCAAUAUAGCAAGAGAACCUUUGAAGUUGUUUCUCACAAAUCUGACCCUGACAACAUUUUGUGAAGUUUGAAAGAAAAUUCAGUUUGUAUAUCUUGAAGUGAGCACGCACUUUUACACGAAUAUUGC